AGCGAGGUGGGGAAGCCAGGUUAUCCCGGCGGGCUCAUAACCCGCAGAUCGGUGACUGUUCCUGUUAAUUCAGUACAGCCGAAUGUUCAAAUCCACUCCUCGCUA
rnacentral:tRNA from 1 species